GCAACCUAUAUGCCCUUCAACACCAAGAGGGGAAGAAGAUGUAUGACUGAAUGACCAAAUCACUCCUGUCUCCUGUUAACCGACCAAUUAAUGCACUGUUGAUUGAGAGAGAGAGAGAGAGAGAAGCCCAGAAAACACCCCUACUAUGCCAGCGUACGAGGAUGCAAGAAUACACGAAGCCCAUUCUUCAUGAACAACGUAAGAGACAUCUUCUGCUGCACAAGGUGACCGGGAACCAGACAUAACCGGUAACGCAAUAGCACCGCUGAAGCCACAGAUUUCAUUUGCAGGUAAGCCAAGUCCUUCCCUAAACAAGUUCUGGGUCCAGCAUUAAAAGCCACAAACUUGUAGCCAUCUUUAGGAGGUUCAAAUCGGUUCCCUUCCGGUGACACCCACCGCUCCGGCUUGAAUUCCAUACAAUCCUCACCCCAUAUGCUCUUCAUUCUCCCUACAGAAUAUAUAGAAUAUGUAACGGUUGAACCUGCAGGCACGAAUGUGCCGUCCGGCAAAACGUCAUCUGCUACAACAUAUUUGAAAUCCUGAGGGACUGAAGGGUAUAGACGCAGUGUUUCGGCUAAUGCUGCUUUAAGAUAGACCAAUUUAUCGGCUUCAUCAAAGUCUAGAGGCUCCCCUAGCCAUUUCUGAUGAUCAUUGCCACGCGUUUCUUCAAGUACUGUUGAUAUUUCCUUGACAAUCUUUGCUUCAACUUCUGGGUGGUUCAUGACUAGCC
rnacentral:misc_RNA from 1 species